GAUAAACGCUGGCGGCGCACAUAAGACAUGCAAGUCGAACGGACUUAACUCAUUCUUUACGAUUGAGAGCGGUUAGUGGCGGACUGGUGAGUAACACGUAAGCAACCUGCCUAUCAGAGGGGAAUAACAGUGAGAAAUCAUUGCUAAUACCGCAUAUGCUAACAGUAUCGCAUGAUACAGUUAGGAAAGGAGCAAUCCGCUGAUAGAUGGGCUUGCGUCUGAUUAGCUAGUUGUGGGGUAACGCCUACCAAGGCGACGAUCAGUAGCCGGACUGAGAGGUUGAACGGCCACAUUGGGACUGAGAUACGGCCCAGACUCCUACGGGAGGCA
rnacentral:rRNA from 1 species